rnacentral:rRNA from 1 species
GGAUAACCGCUGAAGGCAUCUAAGUGGGAAGCCCGCCUCAAGAUGAACCAUCCCUGAGGGAAUAACCCUCCUGAAGGCACCAGGGAGACUACCUGGUUGAUAGGGUGGCGGUCUACGUAGCGUAAGGUACUCAGCCGACCACUACUAAUUUGCCGUGAGGCUUGACCAU